rnacentral:rRNA from 1 species
CCCCUAGAUGUUCUGGGCCGCACGCGCGCUACACUGAACAGUUCAACAAGUCUUAACCUUGGCCGAUAGGUCUGGGUAAUCUUUGAACGCUGUUCGUGAUUGGGAUAGACCUUUGCAAUUAUGGGUCUUCAACGAGGAAUUCCUAGUAAACGCAAGUCAUCAGCUUGCAUUGAUUACGUCCCUGCCCUUUGUACACACCGCCCGUCGCACCUACCGAUUGAAUGGUCCGGUGAAAUUUCGGGACGGCGGCUUGGUCGCUUGCGUCCGACUGCUGAAACUUGAUUAAACCAUAUCAUUUAGAGGAAGGUGAAGUCGUAACA